rnacentral:hammerhead_ribozyme from 1 species
GCACUGCUGAGGAGUCUCAAAAUAGGACGAAACAGCUGUCCAGUGC